AUGAAACUCCUGUAAACUCACAUAACUUUUUGCCUAUACAAAACUACCGUUGCUGUAUAGUUUUAAGUAAGCCUUGGGUAAACUGUCCUGUAGAUAACUGAAUCAGUAUAACAAAAGCUUUUAAAAAGCUUUUUGUCGAAAAGUGUUUUCUGUAAAGUAGCAUUUUGUGCUGGGGCAUAUAGAUUGUAUGAAAUGAAACAGCCCUUUUCAAGAAGCUUCCUUUAUUUUAGUGUAUGAGAAAAACAACUGUUACUGUUUACGCUCUUCAAUCAAGAUCACUCAUGACAAACAGCAAUGUAUCAGCAGGACGAGACAAUUUACCACUGCAUGAGCUAAAAGCCAAGCGUUGAUAUUGGUGUGUGCUCACAUCUCGGGGCAGGAGGGAGAGAGGUCUGAGAGACGUUACUCUUCCAGAUGAAGAGAGAAGAAGGAUGGUCUCAGCCAGCAAAUUACCUCUGAAGACUAAAUCCUCACAGACAAGGUAUGCCAUUUACAGUAAGAAGUUUAGCAUCUGCCAGGAGAAUUAGAUCUUUCUCAUCAACGCAGUGCACCCAUCAGUGCAGCAUAUAGACACGGAUCGGUUGUUGCUCCCUUCGCUGUGGAUACACAGAGAAGCCAGACUUGAGGUGAUAACUUGAAGUAAACGUUACUCCUGCUGUGAACCUCAACACUUCUGUCUUCAGUUUACCAGUGCUUCCCAUCCCAGCC